rnacentral:rRNA from 1 species
UACGUAGGGUGCAAGCGUUAAUCGGAAUUACUGGGCGUAAAGCGUGCGCAGGCGGUGAUGUAAGACAGAUGUGAAAUCCCCGGGCUUAACCUGGGAAUGGCAUUUGGGACUGCAAGGCUUGAGUGCGGCAGAGGAGACUGGAAUUCCUGGUGUAGCAGUGAAAUGCGUAGAUAUCAGGAGGAAUACCGAUGGCGAAGGCAGGUCUCUGGGCCGAUACUGACGCUGAGGAGCGAAAGCGUGGGGAGCGAACAGG